CUACGGGGGGCUGCAGUGGGGAAUAUUGCACAAUGGGCGCAAGCCUGAUGCAGCCAUGCCGCGUGUGUGAAGAAGGCCUUCGGGUUGUAAAGCACUUUCAGCGGGGAGGAAGGCGGUGAGGUUAAUAACCUCAUCGAUUGACGUUACCCGCAGAAGAAGCACCGGCUAGCUCCGUGCCAGCAGCCGCGGUAAUACGGAGGGUGCAAGCGUUAAUCGGAAUUACUGGGCGUAAAGCGCACGCAGGCGGUCUGUCAAGUCGGAUGUGAAAUCCCCGGGCUCAACCUGGGAACUGCAUUCGAAACUGGCAGGCUAGAGUCUUGUAGAGGGGGGUAGAAUUCCAGGUGUAGCGGUGAAAUGCGUAGAGAUCUGGAGGAAUACCGGUGGCGAAGGCGGCCCCCUGGACAAAGACUGACGCUCAGGUGCGAAAGCGUGGGGAGCAAACAGGAUUAGAUACCCCGGUAGUC
rnacentral:rRNA from 1 species